rnacentral:rRNA from 1 species
UACGGAGGGGACUAGCGUUGUUCGGAAUUACUGGGCGUAAAGCGCACGUAGGCGGAUUUGUAAGUCAGGGGUGAAAUCCCGGGGCUCAACCUCGGAACUGCCUUUGAUACUGCAAAUCUCGAGUCCGGAAGAGGUGAGUGGAAUUCCUAGUGUAGAGGUGAAAUUCGUAGAUAUUAGGAAGAACACCAGUGGCGAAGGCGGGUCUCUGGACAGUUCCGUGACGCUGAGGCACGAAGGCCAGGGAGCAAACGGG